GUGCAGCAGUCGAGAAAACUUUACAAUGCAGGCAACUGUGAUAAGGGAACCCCGAGUGCCCGUAUGGACGGGCUGUUCAGGUGCUUAAAAACCACCUGGAGAAAGGGCCGGGCAAGACCGGUGCCAGCCGCCGCGGUAAUACCGGCGGCUCGAGUGGUGGCCACUAUUACUGGGCUUAAAGCGUCCGUAGCUUGGUCGUUAAGCCUCUGGGGAAAUCUUCCGGCUCAACCGGAAGGCGUCUCAGGGGAACUGGCGGCCUAGGGAUCGGGAGAGGUGAGAGGUACUCUGGGGGUAGGAGUGAAAUCCUGUAAUCCUCAGGGGACCACCUGUGGCGAAGGCGUCUCACCAGAACGACUCCGACAGUGAGGGACGAAAGCUGGGGGAGCAAACCGGAUUAGAUACCCUCGUAGUCC
rnacentral:rRNA from 1 species